GACGGAGGGUGCUAGCGUUGUUCGGAAUUACUGGGCGUAAAGGGCGCGUAGGCGGUCGUGACAAGUCACUUGUGAAAUCUCCGGGCUUAACUCGGAACGGUCAAGUGAUACUGUCGGACUAGAGUACAGAAGGGGCAACUGGAAUUCUCGGUGUAGCGGUGAAAUGCGUAGAUAUCGAGAGGAACACCUGCGGCGAAGGCGGGUUGCUGGGCUGAUACUGACGCUGAGGAGCGAAAGCGUGGGGAGCGAACAGG
rnacentral:rRNA from 1 species